CACACUCCCAAUUCAGACCAGCAGCUCAAAACUGGUGGGACACACCUCCCAACUGACAAAGGGGGCAGGCUGGGACACCCAGAAAUGACACCCACAGGCAAGUCCAAGUCUGCAAAGCUAUUCCUGGUCAUAGUUCCUAUCACUCAGGAAAAAUUGUGGCUUCAGCAACUCUCUUCGGGUGCAGACCUGUGUAGUGGAACUACCCACAGCAAGGAUAUAUGCCUGUUAGGUGGCACAGACCCGAGACCCGAUGGAUCAGACUUGGCCUUCAUCCUCCUCUUGUCCUGAUAAAAUCUCACAGCUCCAGACAACACAGACACAAAACAUUGAUCGACAGUAAGAUGGCUUGAAGAAAUGCUUCUUUCAGGACAAAUUCUUUCUGUGCAUUCCAUGAGAUAACCCUCUGUAUUAUGGAAGCCUUAGACCUCACGGAACCUGGGUUGCCUGUGGUCACAGUGCUGAGAAUCCACCUCCCCAAGGAGUGACUGCACUGGUUCCUGCUUCCCAGGCCUCCAAUGGACUUAUCCCUCCUUCCAGAGUGAUUUGUCUAUGCUGAAGGCGGAGUUUCUAACCUCAGCGGUUUUAGUCUUUUAGCAAGAAUUUGUGACAUUAUUUUUGCUAAAGGAACUUUUAGAAGGGGUGCAAUAUUUCCAAAACAUGACCCUCAGGAGCCUCCUUUACUCCAAAAACCCAGGAGUUUCCGGAAAGGGCCCAGACCCUCAGCUUGUUCCAGAAGACAAAGACCCACAUGCUCACCUUCAAGCCUCCCUGCCCCCUGCUCCCCCCCUGGGGAACAGACACACAGGGAGAUGGUGGAGGGAGCCUUCUACAGAGCCCGACUUCCCCCUCCACUUCCCCAGGAAGAGAGAUGUCAGAAAAGUUACGGGUUUACACGAAAUCACCUGUUCCUUGUGUCCUUGGAUGGUGGUUGCUUAUGUCAAGACAGACCCUUCACCAGGUAGAGAACCAUGAGGAUCUCCAUGCAGGGAAGACUUCCCCCCUGACCACCAUUCCUGGGCACCCGCUGCUCUGCUGUCAGCUCCUCUCUUCCAACAGAAGCCUGAAUCAGUGUGUGUGCACCCCCCACCCCCCCCGACACCGGGUGAGGCCCAGACUCAAAUCUCCACAGCUCACGACCUCCUGGGCGCUGCUGCACCUUCUUCAACCCCAAACCUUGGUUAACUCCUGUGGGAGUGGAGAGGAAAUGAAGCAGAUGCUCCCCACUCUCCCUGCCAGACCAUCCUCCUCCUGGCUUUCUAUGUGCGGCACAUGGGGUGUGGGCCUCAGGGCUGUUUGGGCAGUUUCCCCUUUGUCAUUUCUCCCUCAGUGUUCAUGGCAGCCACCCUUGGUCAAUGCAGCUCUAGGCACCGAAGACAGUUGAGAGCCCUUCCCCAGAGGCACCUGCCCCAAGGGCUGCACCCCUCUGCCCAGAAAUAGCAAAGGGAAGGGCCGUGCAGGGUGGGCUAGGUCUUAGGACUGUAGCCUCUUCUUUGGAGCUCAACUAACCACUUUUCUGAAGAAUGGUUUUGACACUAAGGUGAUGUUAUUUAUUAAUUAAAACAUCCUUUUUGAAAAAAA